rnacentral:rRNA from 1 species
AUUGAACGCUGGCGGAAUGCUUUACACAUGCAAGUCGAACGGCAGCACGGGGGCAACCCUGGUGGCGAGUGGCGAACGGGUGAGUAAUACAUCGGAACGUGCCCAGUCGUGGGGGAUAACGUAGCGAAAGUUACGCUAAUACCGCAUACGAUCUACGGAUGAAAGCGGGGGACCGUAAGGCCUUGCGCGAUUGGAGCGGCGGAUGUCAGAUUAGGUAGUUGGUGAGGUAAAGGCUCACCAAGCCGACGAUCUGUAGCUGGUCUGAGAGGACGACCAGCCACACUGGGACUGAGACACGGCCCAGACUCCUACGGGAGGCAGCAGUGGGGAAUUUUGGACAAUGGGCGCAAGCCUGAUCCAGCAUUUCCGCGUGCAGGACGAAGGUCUUCGGGUUGUAAACUGCUUUUGUACGGAACGAAAAGGCUCUGGUUAAUACCUGGGGCUCAUGACGGUACCGUAAGAAUAAGCACCGGCUAACUACGUGCCAGCCGCCGCAGUAA